AUGAAAAUGGCAUCACUAACAGGGAUUGGAAGCCAGAAAAUGUUUUAUUGUGUUCCUCGUAUGAUGAAACGCUUAUAAAGAUCAGAAUUCCUAUAUGGAAACACUCUGUGGUACACCAAGUUACCUCGCUACCAAAAUGUUAAUCCCGUAGCCUGAAGAACGAUCCUACAAGAAAUCGUGUGACUGCUGGAGCCUGGG
rnacentral:lncRNA from 1 species